AGCCGCAAAGAAAUUUGACGAGAUUGACUCUGCUCCCGAAGAGAAAGCACGUGGUAUUACAAUCAACACUGCUCACG
rnacentral:tRNA from 1 species